rnacentral:lncRNA from 1 species
GCGAGGGAGGGGCCUUGGAAGUGGGCUCAGCCCAGCUUCCACCGGGCUGUUGGUGGCCUGCACUGGGGUCCCUGAGAGCCAGGGCUGCAGAAGCUGGGGCCGGCAAGGCCGGGGUCCCCGCAGCUGGGCAGCACUCACCACUGAGCCACCUGGCCCUGACGGCCAACACAAUGGACACGCCUGGAAGGAGAGGAUGGGCCAGGUGGGAAGGCUGUUCCUGUCUAUUUCCAGGUGGGCAAGGAGGAGAGAAGGCAGUGCUGACCUGGGCAGCAGAGGGAGGAGGGCACCCAGCCCAGCUGCGGCCCUGGUGCCCCCUCCAGCUGCCUGUGAGCAACUGUGCCCGCCUGGCCUGGGCCCUGCCCUCAGGGGGGGACACCUGCCCGGCCGGCAGUGGCUCCUGGGGUUGGAGUCCUUGUGCCCCCAGGGGACAAAGCAAGGGGCCUCGGAUCCAACUAGAAAACCAGUGUUGCCCUUGGAGGUGGCUCCGAUGGCGACCCCUGGCUUUGGAGGCCCCGUCCCUGUUUCAGGGUUACAGCUGGGGACGCCACAGGGAAAGCCCCCAGGUCUGCGGUCCCUCUGCACUUGGUCGCCAGCCUGGGAAGCUGCAGCUCUGCCCAGGGACCCAACCCGGACUCCUCGUUGUCCUCACAGCCUGUGCUUUCUCCUCGCCACCCCUGGACCAGUAACCGGGGCCCGGUUUGGGGACCAGCAGGCCACGCUGCUCAUCACGAUUGGCCUCAGGAUGUGCAAAGUGUGUCCCUGCUGUUGUGCAAGGCGUACCUCAUCGGCACGUUGGGCCUCGGUGGGGAAAGAACCCGGUUUGAGGUCAGGAGGAUUUGGAGGCUGUCUGUCUCUGUUUUGGAGCAGCCCUGCCACUCAGAUGCCAGCAGCCACGGGCAGGGCACCUGGCUGAGCCAGGACCUGGCCAUCUGGGCAGCACCUCGCCCUGACCCGGCUUGGCCCGAAGCCUGCGUGGAGUUGGAGUUGCGAGUCCAGUCCUGCCAGUGGGCUUCGGGCCCGACCGACUGAGACUCAGCAGAGGCCUCGCCAGUUCUCUCCAGCCCAGGCUUGUCGGGAAUUUUGCUGGCUCACUGUUCCCAGCCCAGGAUGAGCAGGGCACCUCGGGCUCGCUGGGAGGGGCGGGGAGCAGCCUUGGCCUGCAGCGGAGACCAGGCCUCCCCACCUGUCCUGAGUCCUCGAACGCCCGGCACCUUGCUUGUGCUGGCCUGGGUGCUGCCCCAGCCUGACCACCCUAGGACCCGCCUUCAGGAUGGGGUGCCCCCUGACCGGAAUCUGCCAGGCCCCACUGUGCGCCCAGCUCCCGUCAAGGGGCUCCCAGCCGAUGCUCCUGGUUGCUCCAUCGGCUGUGGGGUGCUGAUGUCCAUACCCCGGUUAAGGACAAGGUGUGGGGCAGGCUUAGCCAGCACCAGGGCUGCACAGUGGUGCUGCUACCAGCGAAGAAAGGACUCCCAGCAGCUGGCGGGAGCCACCCACGGCUGUUUGUCAAGGGCCAGCAGGACGCCGGAAGUGCAGAGGCGCUCAGUAAGUGCUGGCUGCCACCUCGUAAGUGAACGUUAUACAUGCACCCGGCCAGGCAGACCGCAGCAAACUCCCAGAGGCCCCUGAAGCAGGUGACCAGGAGUUUGUGGCCAGCAGCGCUGGGAGGAGGUAUCGCUGGCGUGGAGUGUCCUGCGGGUUGAGUUCAGUGCUCAGCCUGGGGAGGAAGGAAGAAAGGAAUCAGGAGGAAACAGACAAGCCUGGGGCUAGGGCCGGCAUAGGUCACCUGGCUGGGGUUUGGGGACUGCAGCAACAGGACAAGAGGGGUUGGAUGAGGUGGCACACGCCUGUAAUCCCAGCACUCAGGAGGCUGAGGCAGGAGGACUGCAGUGAGUUCAAGGCCAGCCUGGCCUACAUAGGAGACCCUGUCUCGAAAAAAAAAAGAUGGCACAUGUGGGACAGCUUGAUGGUGCCCACCAAGACCUUGUGAGAUCCUGACCCCAGGACCUGUGACCACAGGAUUUAUGACUCCCAGUGCCUGUGACCUUCAGGACUUGUGACCCCUCAGCGCCUGUGACCCGGACUUCGUUAGAAAACGGAGUCAUUGCAGACAGCCGAGUACAAAGAGGCCUCGGGUGGGACCCAUGUGACCGAGUCCUCAACCAGGGGCAACAGGUCCCCAGCAGCCUGCACACCGGGAGAAGCCACCGGAAGAAGCUGCAGCCACAGCGGAGCUGCACAGUCCCAAGGACGCGGCCAGCUGUUUCCUCCGCCCUCGGCACUCUCGGCCCAGGCUCCCCUCGGACUGGCUGAGCUGCUGGGAGCGCUGGCACCACAGCUGCGGCAGGGCCAGCUUCCUCACAGGACUCCCCUCAGGCAGCCUGGUGGCCCCCUGUGACAAGGUGGACACGGCAGGCAGCUCCAUGGGCCUCGAGGGCUCAGCUGCAAAGCACAGGGGGCAACUGGGCCGAGGGACCGCCACCUGCAGGGCGCUGGGCACCAGUGUUCGGGGAGCAUAAAGGAGGAGAGCUCUCGGCACCGGCCCCUGCAGCAGCAGAGAGCACGGCCAAGAGGCCGGAAGUGGCCACGCGGGGCUGAGGGAUCGUCCCGGGGAGCCUGAGCGACCCCAGACCCAGGCACAUUUGGGCCAGGCAGCGCAGCCGCAGUCCUGCACGCGAGCAGCACGGCCAGCUCCACACUCCGCGUGACUCAGCAGCGCUGGUGAAUCAGGCCGGACGGCUCACGGGCGUGGCCAGCGCCCCAGGCUGGGGCCAGGCCGCGAUUAGGUCAUCUGCCUGGAAGGCCCCCCCCCCGCCCCCUGCUGGGAACCGCUCUUCUGCCCCCAGUGUCUCUCUGGGCCUGGCCUCAGGAGACACCUGCCUGGAGACCCGAGGUGGGGGGCGGUCCCGGGGUCCCAGCCCGGCCCUGCUACUGCUCGGUCGGUCGUGUCCUCCAGGAGUCAGAAGAGCCAGACAGACAGCAGGAAGCGGCGGGGCCGCGGGGCCUCACGCCCCGUGGGGUGCAGAGAGGAGAAGCCAGGGCCGCUGUGCGCUCGGGGGAGCUGGCUGCAGGGGUGGGGAGGCGUGCGG